rnacentral:misc_RNA from 1 species
AAGACUAUAGACCUGCGGAGUACCUGCGGAGGGAUCAUUACCAAUUUAUAUUAUUAGUGCUGUGCCCGCAAAUUUGUGGGUUUCAGCUACUAUUAUGUAAACGUUGAACUAGAUCAAUUGGUGUGGAUUGCUUGGGAAUGGACGAAGCGACAAGCCUCUUCCGGACAGGCAAACCCCACACUGAUAACCCUUUUCAAUAUAUACUACACUACUAGUACAUACUACAAACAAACAAACAAA